rnacentral:tRNA from 1 species
CCUUAGCUUAGUGGUAGAGCGUCAGUCUUGUAAACUGAAGGUCGUGGGUUCGAUUCCCAUAGG